UACGGAGGGGGCUAGCGUUGUUCGGAAUUACUGGGCGUAAAGCGCACGUAGGCGGAGAGGUCAGUCAGAGGUGAAAUCCCGAAGCUCAACUUCGGAACUGCCUUUGAUACUGCCUUUCUAGAGUCCGAGAGAGGUGAGUGGAAUUCCUAGUGUAGAGGUGAAAUUCGUAGAUAUUAGGAAGAACACCAGUGGCGAAGGCGGCUCACUGGCUCGGUACUGACGCUGAGGUGCGAAAGCGUGGGGAGCAAACAGG
rnacentral:misc_RNA from 1 species